CGUACACUCCUACGGGAGGCAGCAGUGGGGAAUUUUGGACAAUGGGCGAAAGCCUGAUCCAGCCAUGCCGCGUGCAGGAUGAAGGCCUUCGGGUUGUAAACUGCUUUUGUACGGAACGAAACGGCCUUUUCUAAUAAAGAGGGCUAAUGACGGUACCGUAAGAAUAAGCACCGGCUAACUACGUGCCAGCAGCCGCGGUAAUACGUAGGGUGCAAGCGUUAAUCGGAAUUACUGGGCGUAAAGCGUGCGCAGGCGGUUAUGUAAGACAGUUGUGAAAUCCCCGGGCUCAACCUGGGAACUGCAUCUGUGACUGCAUAGCUAGAGUACGGUAGAGGGGGAUGGAAUUCCGCGUGUAGCAGUGAAAUGCGUAGAUAUGCGGAGGAACACCGAUGGCGAAGGCAAUCCCCUGGACCUGUACUGACGCUCAUGCACGAAAGCGUGGGGAGCAAACAGGAUUAGAUACCCUAGUAGUCCCAUGAU
rnacentral:rRNA from 1 species